rnacentral:rRNA from 1 species
ACUCAAAGGAAUUGACGGGGGCCCGCACAAGCGGUGGAGUAUGUGGUUUAAUUCGAUGAUACGCGAGAAACCUUACCUGGUCUUGACAUGUAGAGAACCCUUAAGAGAUUAGGGGGUGCCUGCUUGCAGGAGCUCUAACACAGGUGGUGCAUGGUUGUCGUCAGCUCGUGUCGUGAGAUGUUGGGUUAAGUCCCGCAACGAGCGCAACCCUUGUUGCUAGUUACCAGCACGUAAUGGUGGGAACUCUAGCGAGACUGCCGGUGACAAACCGGAGGAAGGUGGGGAUGACGUCAAAUCAUCACGCCCCUUACGACCAGGGCCACACACGUACUACAAUGCCCGGUACAGCGAGCUGCGAAGCUGCGAAGCUGAGCUAAUCUCUUAAAACCGGGCCAAGUUCAGAUCGGAGGCUGCAAUUCGCCUCCGUGAAGCUGGAAUCGCUAGUAAACGCAAAUCAGCAUGUUGCGUUGAAUACGUUCUCGGGCCUUGUACACACCGCCCGU